rnacentral:tRNA from 1 species
AGCCGGGUAGCUCAGUGGUAGAGCAAGGGGUUGUUAACCCCUUGCGACGCAGGUUCGAAUCCUGCCCCGGCUGCC